rnacentral:rRNA from 1 species
UUAGAGUUUGAUCCUGGCCCAGGAUAAACGCUGGCGGCGUGCCUAAUACAUGCAAGUCGAACGAGGGCGGCCAAGCUUGCUUGGCCAAACGAGUGGCGAACGGGUGAGUAACACAUAAGCAACCUGCCCACGGAGACCGGGAUAAUCUCUGGAAACGGGGACUAAAACCGGAUAGGUAGCACAGCCGCAUGGUAGUGCUAUUAAAGGUGAGAGACACUGGUGGAUGGGCUUAUGGCGCAUUAGCUAGUUGGUGAGGUAAAGGCCCACCAAGGCGAUGAUGCGUAGCCGGCCUGAGAGGGUGAACGGCCACAUUGGGACUGAGACACGGCCCAGACUCCUACGGGAGGCAGCAGUAGGGAAUUUUCGGCAAUGGGGGGAACCCUGACCGAGCAACGCCGCGUGAACGAUGAAGGUCUUCGGAUUGUAAAGUUCUGUUGUACGGGAAGAACGGUAUGGAGAGGAUCCAUAAGUGACGGUACCGUACCAGAAAGCCACGGCUAACUACGUGCCAGCAGCCGCGGUAAUACGUAGGUGGCGAGCGUUAUCCGGAAUUAUUGGGCGUCAAGGGUGCGAAAGCGGUCUGUUAAGUUCCUGGUUAAAGCGGGGGGCUCAACCCCAUAAAGCCACGGAUACUGGCAGACUAGAGUACUGGAAAGGGCAGUGGAAUUCCAUGUGUAGCGGUAAAAUGCGUAGAUAUAUGGAGGAACACCGGUGGCGAAGGCGGCUGCCUGGACAGAGACUGACGCUGAGGCACGAAAGCGUGGGGAGCAAAUAGGAUUAGAUACCCUAGUAGUCCACGCCGUAAACGAUGGAUACUAAGUAUUGGGGCAACUCAGUGCUGCAGUUAACGCAAUAAGUAUCCCGCCUGUGGAGUAUGCACGCAAGUGUGAAACAUAAAGGAAUUGACGGGGGCCCGCACAAGCGGUGGAGUAUGUGGUUUAAUUCGACGCAACGCGAAGAACCUUACCAGGCCUUGACAUCCCGUGCAAAGGUAUAGAGAUAUACCGGAGGUUACCAAGGUGACAGGUGGUGCAUGGUUGUCGUCAGCUCGUGUCGUGAGAUGUUGGGUUAAGUCCCGCAACGAGCGCAACCCUUGUCUUCAGUUACCAAUAUCAAGUUAGGGACUCUGGAGAGACUGCCGGUGAUAAACCGGAGGAAGGUGGGGAUGACGUCAAGUCCUCAUGGCCCUUACGGGCUGGGCUACACACGUACUACAAUGGCGAAUACAAAGGGAAGCAAGCGUGCGAACGCAAGCGGAUCCUAUAAAAUUCGUCUCAGUUCAAAUUGCACUCUGCAACUCGAGUGCAUGAAGUUGGAAUCGCUAGUAAUCCGAAAUCACCAGGUCGCGGUGAAUACUUCCCCGGAGUUGUCCCCCCCCCCCCUCCCCCCAUGGGAGUUGGUUUUAACUGAAGGCGCUCUGCUGACCCCAGGGAGGCAGGUGACCACGGUAGGAUCAGUGACUGGGGUGAAGUCGUAACAAGGUAACCGUAU